UGGAAGUCUUGGUUCCUGAGGGAAGGUCCGUCCCCCGAAGUGGGAUUUCCCAUCUGAGUUCCAGGGACUGAUUAAGCAGGGCUCGGGUUUCUCCAGCAGCUCCUAGAAACCCAACAGAAGCAGAAGGAAGUGCAGGCAGAGCUACAGAUGCAGCUGGUAAUCUUGAGGGAGCAGCAGCAAUACCUGUGAGAGAUCCUGCAAAGGGAAAUCAACCUGCUACGCCCAUGGACAAAAAGAGCAGACUCAGCGAGCAUGCUGGGGCUGUGCUGAGAAGGUUAGCCCAGGAGAGCAGGGCAUGAGAAAGUGUACAAGCAUAGCCUAAUGCCAAAAUGGGAACAAAAGUUCUUCGGUUUGGGUGCAGAGAAGCAGGCCAUAUCGAAAGACCCGGCCUGCAUAGGAAAUUCCUGAGUGGCAAAAGGAGGGGCCAGGGCCCCAAGAAGGUAGAAAGAAAGGAGAAGGUGUCCUCUUGGACAAACACACAUGAGGCAGGCCAGGUGGAGAUGGCAGGGAUGGCCGUGGACCUUGCAGACCCUCCUCCAACACACCUGUCGGGUGCUGCAGGGAGGUGAAGGAUGAAAUGGUUGGCACAGAGAGGAAUCAGUCACGAGAGUUGAGCAGUGGUGUGUGCUCAGACCUUGAUGGAAAAGGUUUUGGGGGAUGCAGCAGCAGUAAAAAAAAGGCUACAGAAGAAGCUAGUGGCUUCCGUACAAGGCUCUGCAAGCAGUUGUUAAUGAGAAUGCGUGGCUGCAGGAAGAGAAGGAUGGCCUCUGAGUUCUGGUGAGUACGAGGCUGUACGAGUGCACAGCCGGUGACAGCGAUGAGAUGGUGAGGGAUGAAUACUGGACAAGAGUAGAACUUGCCCCGGGUUGGUCUGGAUUUUUAGGAGGAGGGUAUAUAACAGGGUGGCUUGGCCUGCAGCUGCAAAGCCUGGAGAUGACUAAGUGAGCCCCACCUGAGAGGAAACAAGGGAAAACAGCAGCAAAAGUACAGAAGCAGCCCUAGCUGUUCAGUAUACAGCCUUGGGCCAAAACCUGGAGUCCAGGGUAGGGCUGGGUUCUCCCACCGUCCCUAAGGAAGGGGACAUAGAAGACCAUAGAAACCCAAGAAGGGCAGAUCAAGCCGAAAUCAGGUGGUGGAAGAGCUCCCCAUGAGGGUGGAAGGCCUUGUUUCUCUUCAAGACAUUUUUUGACUUUGUUUGGAAGGAGCGUGACCCAGGAAGGAGUGGACUAAAGGACAGUCAUCUGGUUGGAGGGCUGAGUUCCCAGCCAACAAACUGCAAGAGUGGCUAUCAAUGGGGUUGCUCGCCCAGCUAGAAAGCUGUGAGACGAGGCCUGGCCAGGAUCUAGCGUCUCUGUCCCAGCCUCUCACACAGAUGUAUGCUGCAGCCAGCCCAGCUCAGAGAACAGUGGGGACAGAUGAUCUCAUCCUGUCAAACCAAGCAACAUGGGUCCCACUGAGGCUUAGAUGGAAGAUCCCAUGCAUCUCCUGGAGAGGAUGUGUCCGGGAUCCUGGAGACUGUUUUCUGCAGGAGGUUUGAGUGGGGAGAGAUCACUCACUGUCAUGACCCCUUGGUCAUUAACCCAGGUCUGCAGGGUUCAUGGGAGCAGCCACACUCCAGCAGGCCACCUGGAAGCCUCCUAAAAACUGCUUACCUAGGACUUACGAAGUCCAGAACCAGUUGGAGGCUCCAUCCCUGAGGCUUUAUUGGCAGAGUCCCAGAGCAGCUAAUUGGCCCCCGAGACCUCCUUAAACCAACAGCAGGAACAAGAAGCUGUGCGAACACCCGAGCUCCUCUGUCUUCUGGACCAUGUGUUAGCUGUUCCUGUUCCCACUGCCCAGGCUUGAUUUCCUGGCAUCCUGACUCGCUGUGGCCUGGUCUACACUAGGAG